CGCGAGAACAGCCGGAGUUGGGGGCUCUCGCACCUUAAAUGCUCACAUUUGCUCGUUGCUCAGCCAGCCAUCUUCUUUCUCUAACGGCUGGUUUUGAAAGUUUGGAGGAGAAUGAAACCUAACAGAACUUUCUGAAGAAAUAGUCCACCGGCUCCAUGGACUAGGAGCUAUGGAUAAAAGUAGCCCAGGGCAUACAGUUACACUCCACCUUGCCUCCGAGGAAAGGGAGCCAUGUGCCCAGGGGCUGUGAUCUGUCUCCACAGGACACAAACAGGUCAAGAGAUGUUGCCACCUACAUCAGAGACAUCCAGCUUCUCCUCCCUCCUCUCCCUUUUGAAAUGAUAUCCAAAACCCAGUGGUUUCAUUGCCUGGGAGAAUGCUGGACCACAUGCAACAUCUGAUGACAUCCAACCCUUGAAUGAAAAGUCAAGAAUCCAUCAUUUCCACGUGCCUGAGCAUCCAGAUGGUUGGCAUCAGUGGAUAUAUACUGUGUAUCCAUUCACUGAACAAAUAUUUAUUGAGUGUCUGCUCUAUGCCUGGCUCUCUGCUAGGCCCUGAUGACUCCAAACUGAGUAAGAUUGAUUAUUCAGUCAACCUCACAAAAUCAAAUCAUCUUGAAGCAGAAAGGAAACAGCAACUGUACAUAGAAACAUUUCCAUUCCUGGCACCACUGUUUUAGACAUCAUCCUAGGAUACUCCUUUUUGUUUCGUGGCAAGCAUGGAAAGUGAAGAAACUGAGACUCAGAGACAUCAAGUAACUUGUUCAAGGCACACAGCUAUCGAGGGUCGGAGCUGAAACUCCAGGCCACUCCUUUUCCCAGUCCUGUGAUGGGAAGCAGAGAGCUAACUGGGCUGAUUCUGCCGCCCUCUGGUUCCAUCCCUUCAGAAAUGACAAAUUAUCCUGAGCCUCAGUGUGUUCAUCUAGCUAGUGGGACCACAGUGCCUCUCUCAGGAGCCAGUCAUGGGAAUCAAAGGAAAUAAUCGAUGUGGGGGCUCCUGGCUUUGGAGCCAACGUGCCUUAGGUGCUCAGCAAAUGUUUUUAUGGAUGGGAGCUUCAAACCCUCUUCCACCCUUGCCUCCUGCUUUCCACCAUCCUCCAACAUCCUCCCAGAGUGAGCAGCUCAUGACAUCCUAGAGCACGCUGUUUGAGUUAGAAGGUGUCCUGGCUUCUCUGAGAGCCCAGCCAGUGUGGAUAGCACAGGAGGAGAAGGCAUGGCCACCGCUGGGAGGUGAGAGUUUAUCUCUGCAGACACAGCCUGUCCAUCUCUGAAAUAUUAAAAAGACUUCCAGGAAGCACUGGAGAACUUUCCAAAAUGCAUCAUUCUUCAAGAACAGAAUUAUAAGGUAAUAGAAGAGCCACAUGCCCAACCUCAGCUCCAAUUCUCUCCAUCCUAAGAAGGAGCAAGCUGACCCCCAGUAUUCUUCCUGGGUCUAGAAACUCAAAGAACGAACUCCCCAUUUCCUCCAUCUGCCCCUGUCUCCUACCCAGUCCACUUUUGAGCCAUUGGCCCAUGUAACUCCCCAGCCCGCCAGGGAUCUACUGCCCUCAUGAGAGACUGAUCUUGCUCUAAUGUUUUAAACCUGAACCACUGAUUUCUGAAAAAUAAAUAUGAUCAAAAGGAAGAUUGUGUAACUAUUAAUCAAAGUCAGAGGGAGCAGAGUCCCCCAGGUUCUACCCUAAUGGGAUAUCCCUGAAAAGUAGGAGUUAAAGAGCUGCCUUUUAGAUUAAAUUCUAG
ensembl:lncRNA